GAUGAACGCUGGCGGCGUGCCUAAUACAUGCAAGUCGAGCGAACAGACGAGGAGCUUGCUCCUCUGACGUUAGCGGCGGACGGGUGAGUAACACGUGGAUAACCUACCUAUAAGACUGGGAUAACUUCGGGAAACCGGAGCUAAUACCGGAUAAUAUAUUGAACCGCAUGGUUCAAUAGUGAAAGACGGUUUUGCUGUCACUUAUAGAUGGAUCCGCGCCGCAUUAGCUAGUUGGUAAGGUAACGGCUUACCAAGGCAACGAUGCGUAGCCGACCUGAGAGGGUGAUCGGCCACACUGGAACUGAGACACGGUCCAGACUCCUACGGGAAGCAGCAGUAGGGAAUCUUCCGCAAUGGGCGAAAGCCUGACGGAGCAACGCCGCGUGAGUGAUGAAGGUCUUCGGAUCUUAAAACUCUGUUAUUAGGGAAGAACAAAUGUGUAAGUAACUAUGCACGUCUUGACGGUACCUAAUCAGAAAGCCACGGCUAACUACGUG
rnacentral:rRNA from 1 species